UACGUAGGGGGCGAGCGUUGUCCGGAUUUAUUGGGCGUAAAGAGCGUGUAGGCGGCCAGGUAGGUCUGCUGUGAAAACUCGAGGCUCAACCUCGAGACGUCGGCGGAAACCAUCUGGCUAGAGUCCGGAAGAGGAGAGUGGAAUUCCUGGUGUAGCGGUGAAAUGCGCAGAUAUCAGGAAGAACACCCGUGGCGAAGGCGGCUCUCUGGGACGGUACUAACGCUGAGACGCGAAAGCGUGGGGAGCGAACAGG
rnacentral:rRNA from 1 species